UGAUAAUUCAAUACAUGAAGAUUUUGCUGAAUAAGGUCUGGUGUAUAGCAUGGUGGCUGGAUAUGCAUAGACAAGAAAUGACCAUCACAGAGACAGGCUGUGAGAAUUAUAGCCCACAUUUGGCUGGGGUUGAAGCAGGGCCUCCAACGUGGAGAUCAGCCUGACCAGGCAUGCUCUUUAUGCUCGAGACUGUAGCGGGUGUCCAGACGGGGUCACCCCAACUGUGAUGACCAAGGUGACCAUGAAAGGAGACUCUGAGGUGGGGCCCUUGCACAGGGUGUGGCCCCACUCAGAUGGACCCACUGCUUCAAGAUGUUAUAUUUCUUCUGUUUCAUAGCAGAAUAACACCACUUUUCCUCAGCCCUCUAACCAACAUAGCACAGAGAUGUAAGAGCUCAAAAUGAAUAAAUUACCAAGGUUUGAGCUGCCAUGACCCUUGGAAUACACAGUCCUCAUUUUUAUUUAGCUCAGAGUCAACCUUCACCAAGCACUUAGUGUGGCAGGCGAAGGCGACUCCCCUAGUCCAUUUGCCAAAACCAAAGCAUCAAAUGUGGUAGUUUCUCUUAACUGUUUACUCAAUUGACUUUCUUUACUCUUCAUGAAAGUAAAGGAAGGUUGAAUUUGUCUCUAUUCCAACUCCCAACAGUUAGUAGUUGGAGCCUGAGAGGGAUUGAGGGAUGAAUCAGGUACCUAAGAACAGUAGUUUAAAAGAAUAUAUUUUCUUUCUCCAAUGAGGAUGGUUGGCUCCUUUGUCAAA